UGACCCAUGGGGGGAUCGAACCCACGAUCUUCGCAAGCAUAUCACGACGCCUAACCAACUGAGCCAAUGGUCC